AGUGAACGCUGGCGGUAGGCCUAACACAUGCAAGUCGAACGGCAGCACAAGAGAGCUUGCUCUCUGGGUGGCGAGUGGCGGACGGGUGAGGAAUACAUCGGAAUCUACUCUGUCGUGAGGGAUAACGUAGGGAAACUUACGCUAAUACCGCAUACGACCUACGGGUGAAAGCAGGGGACCUUCGGGCCUUGCGCGAUUGAAUGAGCCGAUGUCGGAUUAGCUAGUUGGCGGGGUAAAGGCCCACCAAGGCGACGAUCCGUAGCUGGUCUGAGAGGAUGAUCAGCCACACUGGAACUGAGACACGGUCCAGACUCCUACGGGAGGCAGCAGUGGGGAAUAUUGGACAAUGGGCGCAAGCCUGAUCCAGCCAUACCGCGUGGGUGAAGGAGGCCUUCGGGUUGUAAAGCCCUUUUGUUGGGAAAGAAAUCCAGCUGGCUAAUACCCGGUUGGGAUGACGGUACCCAAAGAAUAAGCACCGGCUAACUUCGUGCCAGCCGCCGCAGUAA
rnacentral:rRNA from 1 species